rnacentral:rRNA from 1 species
AUUGAACGCUGGCGGCAGGCCUAACACAUGCAAGUCGAACGGUAACAGGAAGAAGCUUGCUUCUUUGCUGACGAGUGGCGGACGGGUGAGUAAUGUCUGGGAAACUGCCUGAUGGAGGGGGAUAACUACUGGAAACGGUAGCUAAUACCGCAUAACGUCGCAAGACCAAAGAGGGGGACCUUCGGGCCUCUUGCCAUCGGAUGUGCCCAGAUGGGAUUAGCUAGUAGGUGGGUAACGGCUCACCUAGGCGACGAUCCCUAGCUGGUCUGAGAGGAUGACCAGCCACACUGGAACUGAGACACGGUCCAGACUCCUACGGGAGGCAGCAGUGGGGAAUAUUGCACAAUGGGCGCAAGCCUGAUGCAGCCAUGCCGCGUGUAUGAAGAAGGCCUUCGGGUUGUAAAGUACUUUCAGCGGGGAGGAAGGGAGUAAAGUUAAUACCUCUGCUCAUUGACGUUACCCGCAGAAGAAGCACCGGCUAACUCCGUG